rnacentral:antisense_RNA from 1 species
UUGGAUUUCCUUUGGCAGGGUUCCCUUGUAUGGAAGUUCUCGGGAGAACAACACUCUCAGAGUCCCAUUGUCUCAAAGAAUUCUUAAUGGACAGAUAUUUUUAAAGAAGUCAGGGUUAUCCACAGCUAUGUACAUAUAAUACCAAAUCAGAUCAUUUAUUCUGUACCUGAGGCAAAAAAGCUUCUGAUUCCUGAAUGGAUUUCUUCACCGGUUCUUCUGGGGGAUGAGAGAAACCAUUUACAAAGCUGAAGGAGAGGUAAGUCCACCCCUACACUGGCUGAGUUUCUUUGUAUAACAACUGUUCUCCCUUCCUAUUUUCUUCAAUUAUCUCUUCUUUCCCCAGCUAUACUUGGCCCCAAGGUUCCAACCUCACAUUGAAGAAAGUGACAUAAGAAAACACAAGUCCCAGCGCUAUCAGGGGCUAUCUGGAAAAGCUGCUUAAACGGCAAGUGAAAGAAGGCUCUCCCCUACCCCGUUCUAGACUCACCCUGAAGUUAUUUGAAGGAUCCUUGAAACUCUUUUGGAUUGCUGCUUGGAGAACAUUCCUGUAACUUGUUCCUGCUCCUUGAACUAUAAAAGCAGAAGGGAAUUACUGAGUUAAAACUUAUAAAUUAUUAUC